ensembl:snRNA
GUGAUAUAUGACAAAAAUAGAAGGUUAAUAUUUCCCUUGAUAAGGAUAAAAGUUGUCCAACUGACUUUUAUAACACAUAUACAAUUAAGACAUUUACAGUUCUCUGGUAUCUAACCAAGUCUGAUU